AUUGAACGCUGGCGGCAGGCCUAACACAUGCAAGUCGAGCGGAUGAGGAAAGCUUGCUUUUCGAUUCAGCGGCGGACGGGUGAGUAAUGCCUAGGAAUCUGCCUGUUAGUGGGGGAUAACUCGGGGAAACUCGGGCUAAUACCGCAUACGUCCUACGGGAGAAAGUGGGGGAUCUUCGGACCUCACGCUAACAGAUGAGCCUAGGUCGGAUUAGCUAGUAGGUGAGGUAAUGGCUCACCUAGGCGACGAUCCGUAACUGGUCUGAGAGGAUGAUCAGUCACACUGGAACUGAGACACGGUCCAGACUCCUACGGGAGGCAGCAGUGGGGAAUAUUGGACAAUGGGCGAAAGCCUGAUCCAGCCAUGCCGCGUGUGUGAAGAAGGUCUUCGGAUUGUAAAGCACUUUAAGUUGGGAGGAAGGGUAUUCACCUAAUACGUGGGUACUUUGACGUUACCAACAGAAUAAGCACCGGCUAACUCUGUGCCAGCCGCCGCCGUAACAC
rnacentral:rRNA from 1 species